AUGCUGGCACAAAGGAAUCUCUUUCUAGUUAACUUCGCAAGUUUCCUUAGCCAUGAAUACGGUUGACUCGCGAAAGACGAUUUGAGAGACCUCUAUGACUUAGAGGCGGGGCUAACUUACAAGACCCCUGCAAAGCCCAAGUCGCAUGAGAAGCGAAGGGAGAUCCUAAGGGACCUCCGGAGAGCUAACUAAUCAGACCCUCA
rnacentral:lncRNA from 1 species